UCGCGCAUCGACUGCUCAGGAUCCUCGUCAGGUGCGGAAGGAGCAGCGGUAUCUUUUGUGGAGG
rnacentral:SRP_RNA from 12 species